AAAAAGUUUUAUUUUAGCUUAAAAAUUAAAUAUUAUUUUUAAUUAUAUGUAAAUUUUAUUAAAGAGUAAAUAGCAGUAUUUAGAAUUAUUAAUUUAAGAAAUUAAGAAUUAGAAAUAAUAUAAAAUAUAAACUAAAUUUGUGCCAGCAGUUGCGGUUAUACAAAUUAUAUAAAUUAAUUCUAUUAAUUUUAAUUAUUUAGAAAUUAAAUUUUAAAAUUAAAUUUAUUUGGUGAAAUUAUAAAUUUAAAAUAAAAUUUAAGUUUGAUAAUAAUGUUAAAAAGUUUUAAAUGUAAACUAGGAUUAGAUACCCUAUUAUUUAAAAGGUAAUUUUUUAAUUUAAUUAGUAUUAGUUAUGAUCUUGAAAAUUAAAAAUUUUGGCGGUAUUUUAAUCUAUUCAGAGGAACCUGUUCUAUAAAUGAUAAUCCACGAUUUUAGUUACUUUUAUUAUUAAUUUAUAUAUCGUCGUUAUUUAAAUAUUUUUGUAGAAUAAUAAUAUUUAAGAUUUUUAAUAAAAAAAAUAUUUCAGAUCAAGGUAUAGUUUAUAUAAAAGUAGAAAUGGGUUACAAUAUAUUUAUAUAUUAAGAUUUAUAAUUUUAAAUUAUAAUGAAUUUGGAUUUGAUAGUAAUUUUAAUAAAUUUAUUAAAAUGAUUUUAGUACUAAAAUAUGUACAUAUUGCCCGUCACUUUCAUUUAAUAUGAAAUAAGUCGUAACAAAGUAGAUUUACUGGAAAGUGUAUCUAGAAACAA
rnacentral:ncRNA from 1 species